rnacentral:rRNA from 1 species
UACGUAGGGUGCGAGCGUUGUCCGGAAUUAUUGGGCGUAAAGGGCUCGUAGGCGGUUUGUCACGUCGGGAGUGAAAACUCGGGGCUUAACCCCGAGCCUGCUUCCGAUACGGGCUGACUAGAGGUAUGCAGGGGAGAACGGAAUUCCUGGUGUAGCGGUGAAAUGCGCAGAUAUCAGGAGGAACACCGGUGGCGAAGGCGGUUCUCUGGGCAUUACCUGACGCUGAGGAGCGAAAGCGUGGGGAGCGAACAGG